UUGAACGCUGGCGGCAUGCUUUACACAUGCAAGUCGAACGGCAGCGCGGGCUUCGGCCUGGCGGCGAGUGGCGAACGGGUGAGUAAUGCAUCGGAACGUGCCCAGUAGUGGGGGAUAGCCCGGCGAAAGCCGGAUUAAUACCGCAUACGACCUGAGGGUGAAAGCGGGGGACCGAAAGGCCUCGCGCUAUUGGAGCGGCCGAUGUCGGAUUAGCUAGUUGGUGGGGUAAAGGCUUACCAAGGCGACGAUCCGUAGCUGGUCUGAGAGGACGACCAGCCACACUGGGACUGAGACACGGCCCAGACUCCUACGGGAGGCAGCAGUGGGGAAUUUUGGACAAUGGGGGCAACCCUGAUCCAGCCAUGCUGCGUGCGGGAAGAAGGCCUUCGGGUUGUAAACCGCUUUUGUUCGGGAAGAAAUCCUCUGGGCUAAUACCCCGGGGGGAUGACGGUACCGGAAGAAUAAGCACCGGCUAACUACGUG
rnacentral:rRNA from 1 species